rnacentral:lncRNA from 1 species
UUUUUAUCUUUGAGUUAUAAAAUCAACAUUGACUCUUGAUUCAAUAUUAGUAAAACAAAUUCAAUUAAACAAGUCUUUUAAUCUUCUUGUUCAAGAUAUCAAGGAUACUUCCUCUAAGUCCCAUAAUACUUCCAAAUUUGAAUUCAAGAAUAAUCUAUUAUAUUUCAAAGGACGCCUAUAUAUUCCAGAAGGUGAAGCUUGAUUACGUUGUCGUAUCACGUGCUUUUCUGCUCGAGAACGCAUCCGGC